GUCUACGGUCAUGCCACCCUGAACAGGCCUGAUCCUGUCUGAUCUCGGAAGCUAAGCAGGGUCAGGCUUGGUUAGUACUUGGAUGAGAGAACACCUAGGAAGACCAGAUACUGUAGGCA
rnacentral:rRNA from 1 species